rnacentral:rRNA from 1 species
UACGUAGGGGGCGAGCGUUGUCCGGAUUUAUUGGGCGUAAAGAGCUCGUAGGCGGUUCAGUAAGUCGGGUGUGAAAUCUCCGUGCUCAACACGGAGCGGCCACCUGAUACUGAUCGGCUCGAAGGCAGGAGAGGGAAGCGGAAUUCCCGGUGUAGUGGUGAAAUGCGUAGAUAUCGGGAGGAACACCAGUGGCGAAGGCGGCUUUCUGGCCUGUUCUUGACGCUGAGGCGCGAAAGCUAGGGUAGCAAACGGG